AGUAGCCUGCGCCUACAUACACACCAACACACGACACGCAGAACAUUCAUUGGCUCCGAGCGCGCGAGACCCAGGAUGUGCACCUGCAUUUCUGGGCAACUUCUCCUUUGGCAGAUGCGCGAGAAUGUGCCACUGCUGCCAAAGGAAAUUUGCCCCGGAAUUCAUCUGCACAAGCACAGCCACACAAAAGCGAGAAGCUACACCUACACUGCGGUUACAGGGGUUCUACGUACCGCGAUGGUACAGCGAAUGUAUGUAUACACUUGUAUUCGUUCUAUUGUAUUGUACAUGUUUGACCUUUGUUCUGCAGCACUGGGUGCUUGUUGUCUUCUACGUACAGGUUCAGGUUAUCAACAUCACUAUAUACCUACUCACCUAGAUUUUACAAAUGGAGCACAUGAGUGCGUGCAAAGCUGGGAAGGCACUGCAAGCCUCUACAGACAAUGGCACUGUACAUUUAGCCAAUAUGAUCAAAUUUACUACUACUACUAAUCCUUGUUGCCCACUGCCUCGGGAAGCUUGUGCGUUGGAGGCCUGUCCGCACCUCGCCUGGAGAACUCUCGCCACCGCCUGGCAGCAGCUGCUGCUCUCUUGGCCCUCUCCGAUGCUUCCCCAUCUGUCGCCACACAAUGUUAGAAACAACCAGUUUUUUUUUUCAACAAGAUAAGACCUGAUAGACGAUUGCGUCUUUUUUAGAUGUUGCAGCUCAGUAACAAAAAAAAAAUGCUCCUUCUAGUAGUACCAUUACCGCCGUUGCUUUGGUCGUCUCGUGGUGGGGAUGAUGCCCAGACCUCGCUCCAAGAGCUCCUCGUGUCUGACGUCUCCUGUUUCACCAUC